GGUCAACCAUUCCCAGAGGUCUGGAGAAACACCAUUAAAAACGUGGAUUGUAGCUAAAGAAGAUGGAGAGGUUGUUACAGCACACUGUAACUGUAUGGCUGGUUUGUCAGAAUCCUGCUCACAUGUUGGAGCAGUUCUGUUUGCAAUCGAAGCAGGUGUGAAGAUGAGAGAGACUGCAUCCUGCACCACUGAGAAGUGCAAGUGGCUAAUGCCAUCACAUGUCAAAAAGAUUCCUGCUGCUCCAGUUGCGAUGAUAGACUUUUCAUCUG